rnacentral:rRNA from 1 species
ACGUAUGACCAUAGAUACUGGAAAACUCGGGAUCCCGUCCGCUCUCCCAUAGAUAAGCCAGUAAUCGUCAGAUUAGUACUCGGGUGGGUGACCACCGGGGAAUCCCUGAUGUUGUACGUU